UCGGGCCCCAUGCAAUUUGCUGUGCGCCAACCCCGCCAGAUUCGGAAGAAAGCAACGGUAACGAUACAUCAUUUGUGCCGUGGGAAGCCUGAC
rnacentral:SRP_RNA from 1 species